GCUGUCUGGGAUUGUCGUUUAUCCCUGCCCUCCGAAGGCAGAGGCCACAGGUUCGAAUCCUGUCGGGUGCACCA
rnacentral:tRNA from 1 species